ACCCUGUCCCUCCCGCUGGAC
rnacentral:miRNA from 1 species